rnacentral:lncRNA from 1 species
UAUUCUCUGCUUAAUCAUGAGGAAUAAAACCAUGUUGCAGUCAUCAAAAGACAUCAUGAAGAUGCUAUGAUUCCAACCAACCUACAAACCAGGCUUCCAAGGCCAGCUAUGCUGCAGCCUCGCCAUGGCCCAAAUUGGUCUUCAGCAUUGGAAGGCCAGAAAUUCUUUUGCCAGGAUACUCAGAGGGCAUUCAAUUUUCAGGGACUAACUCAUACUCAUCAGACUCACAUACUAAAAGACUAAGGAAAAAAGUUUGCUGGCUCCCAAUGUACACAGUGUCUUUGUCAUCUUACAACAAAACAGCCUCUCUUACCAAUGUCUAUGGUCCACAAGUUAUAGUCAGGUGCACCCUCCAGGUGGUGGCAGAAGAUAUCCAAGAAUGGAAAUUCCAUGCUCAUGUGCAUGGGUGCUCUCAUGGUUCUGAUCCCAGGUUUCAGUGAUUUUUAAAAAGUUGAUUUCUAUAGUGAACCUUCUGUAGACCACAUUGCAGGGAUGGAUACUGAAUAAAGACCAUCAGCCUGAUGAGAAAGUUGUCAAAGAACUAGAUUCUGAAAGAGAAUUCAUCACUUCCUUGUAUAAAUCAUUCACCUCUUUGGUCUUCUUCUGUAAAAUCAAACAGCCCAGCCUCCAUAGUGGGUUGUCAUGAAUAUCAAAUGUGAGAAAACUGAGUGAAAUAUGUUGUAAGGUCUUUUGUAAAUGUGAGGGGAGUAAGAAGCACUGCAUCACACUGGCU